rnacentral:rRNA from 1 species
UACAGAGGUGGCAAGCGUUGUUCGGAAUUACUGGGCGUAAAGGGCGCGUAGGCGGCCUUCUAAGUCAGACGUGAAAUCCCCAGGCUUAACUUGGGAACUGCGUCUGAUACUGGGAGGCUUGAGUGCGGGAGAGGGAUGUGGAAUUCCAGGUGUAGCGGUGAAAUGCGUAGAUAUCUGGAGGAACACCGGUGGCGAAGGCGGCAUCCUGGACCGACACUGACGCUGAGGCGCGAAAGCCAGAGGAGCAAACGGG